GGCAAACUGUCAAUGCACUGGGAGGAGCAAAUCCAAAUUGUCAUGGGCCAACCACACCCUGAGAAUCCAACUCCAAUACAAGCUAUGGCUAGAAGGGGAUGAGAAUGCUGUGACUGCUGCGACUAUGAGGACUUGUUAAAGGCUCAACUGAUGAGAAGGAUCGAAGCUGGAGAGUAAGAAUGGAGUGGUGCCUCCUCCAGGACUCCCAGCUUGCCUCCGUUCAAUCCUGCAUUUGGUGCUGCCUAUAGAGGCCAUUUUGGGGCACAGAAAUAUAGAGCUGGUUGACUGUUCUGCAUCCCUUUGACCGGUG